rfam:Ipomoea nil DNA, scaffold: scaffold3227, cultivar: Tokyo-kokei standard.
GGGGAUGUAGCUCAGAUGGUAGAGCGCUCGCUUAGCAUGCGGGAGGUACGGGGAUCGAUACCCUACAUCUCAG